rnacentral:rRNA from 1 species
UACGUAGGGGGCCAGCGUUGUCCGGAUUUACUGGGCGUAAAGCGCGCGUAGGCGGAACGUUAAGUCCGGUCUGAAAGCCCCCGGCUCAACCGGGGAGGGUGGCUGGAAACUGGCGUUCUUGAGGGCGAGAGAGGAGGGUGGAAUUCCUAGUGUAGCGGUGAAAUGCGUAGAGAUCAGGAGGAACACCAGUGGCGAAGGCGACUACCUGGCCUGUUACUGACACUGAGGAACGAAAGCCAGGGGAGCAAACGGG